rnacentral:rRNA from 1 species
GCGAGGUGGUGCUAAUCCUAGAAAAUCUUCGUAGUCCGGAUUGGAGUCUGCAACUCGACUCCAUGAAGUCGGAAUCGCUAGUAAUCGCGAAUCAGCAUGUCGCGGUGAAUACGUUCUCGGGUCUUGUACACACCGCCCGUCAUACCAUGGAAGUGGAUUGCACCAGAAGUAGAUAGUCUAACCUUCGGGAGGGCGUUUACCACGGUGUGCUUCAUGACUGGGGUAAAGUCGUAACAAGGUAGCCGUAGGGGAACCUGUGGCUGGAUCACCUCCUU